rnacentral:lncRNA from 1 species
GGGGGGGGGGAUUGCUGAUCAGACAGUAGUUUGCACCAUAUUUUAGGAGUAGAUGAGUUAUACAUUAUUGUUGGAAUUUAUAGAUUGGUUUGUCCUACCAUUUGUUAGAGACUAGAUUCUUUUUGAGGGGUUGGGGUACGGAAGAGGCUUGACCCUUGACAUGUAGGGUGGAAACUCAAAAUGAGUAUGUUUGUAAGACAUGAGAGUGUACUUGGGAAGAGGAAGAACAACACAAGGUGAGUUUUCUAGUGAUCAGAUGAUGCUUAAAUACUUUCUCUUCUUUAUUGAAUGUGAUGGGGAAUUAUCAAUGUAGAACAAGUCUUGUGACAUAGGGAAAACUAUCAAAGGUUUCACUUGAAUUUAAUAAUUUUAACUUGCAUUCUGUAUAUAUAUUUGUAUAAAUAGUUUAUUUCAAGCUCAGUAAAUAGACUUUUAUCUUUCAAAUGCCUGAAAUAUGAAAAAAAAUAAUCCUAAUUCAUUUUUAUCCUUCAAUUUAUAAAAAUCACGAGCACCUAAAAUUUUCUAACAAGAAAUUUUAUGUUGUUAAUUUUUUUAAACCUUGCAGGCUGCAGUUACUAUAAAAUAAAGAUAGCCAACUAAUCUUUAAAGCUUAAAAAGAGGAGAAAAGAGGAAAUUUCAUAAUUAAUAUAUAUAGGACUAUUUAUUAGCACUAGUUAUGACAUUAUUGUUUAUGUUUCACGUUUUAACAGUAAAAAACUUAUCGGAUGUAACAUUUGUUAAACAUAUAAAAAAAUAAAUAACAAUAACAAAUAUACUAAUGUAUUAAUAAUAAUAAACCGAAUAGUCUCGUCCCACAAGUGCAGCUUGAAUAUGUUUUUCAAUCUCUACUUGUGUAUCAACAACGGAGUCUAUCAUUUCUUUCCUAUAAGCCUUUCAGGAUGAGCCGGCGGAUCCUAACAUAAUUUAUGAGGAGCCGGAUGACGGAUUCUCCUCCUCAGAUAAAGAUGUCUCCGACGUUAUACUACUCUCCCCGCAAGAAAACUUAUUCUAUUGUGAUUUUUUUUGGUUAGGAGGGACAAAAGAAUUGAAUUAAAAUAACUCCUAACUAAUUAAUUAACAAUAUUUUUCCUUAAAUGUAGUGUUUAGUAACGAGUAGGAUAUAUUAGUCCCUGAUUUUCUCCUUAUUAGUUGGUCACUAUUUUAGUUGUUAUCAAUCUCCUAAUUAAUAGUAUUAAUCUCCUCUUUUGAUUCUUUCUUCCUCCGUUUUAGUUGCCAAACCUUUUUAAAAUUUCACGGUAGAACAUUGAGGUAGAUUGGAUGUAUUUUUUUUAAGGAAAAAUUAUCGAAUUACGCAUAUUUUUUUAUUCUAUUUUCUAUUGUUCCCUACCAUUUCAAAAUUUUACAAAAUCCCUCUUUUUUUUUCUCUCAAUCUCUCAUUUCCGGAUACAUAACUUCCACAUUCUAAAUCCACGUUUUUUCCCUUUUUCACGCUUAUAAUCACUCCACCAUAUCACCAUUUACCUCCAUCACUCAAUUUUUUAAUUUCAAUUAAUCUUUUCUCUUUCCAGUCAAUUGAUUUAAAGUUUUUGAAGAGGUAUUUCUUCUUUACAUUUCAUCGAUUAUCGUUUUUUUUAAAGUUAGAUUUUUCAUCUUCAACUUUCUGAUACAUAUGGAUAAUCUUCCAUUUUUUAGUAUUGGAAUUACCCAAUUAUUUUCAAAUAAAGAAGAUAAUGUGGGUCGUAUUUUUUAUUCUGACGACGAAGGAUUUGUUGAAAAUGGAUCUAAACAAUGAAACAAAAAUCCUCUAUUCAUGAAGAAUCUGAGUUUAGAGAAGUCAAAGUCGAAGAAGGAUGCACCUUCGACUUCUAAAGCUAAGGUGGAAAAAAAACCCCAAAAAGGAAAAAAAAAAGUUGGAUAUGCACUAUCACUCCCAUGUCCAUCAAUUUCAAGUUAUUCAAGAGGUAGAUCUCUUUCCAUUACUUUAGUUUUUCGGUAAGGGCUUUGGGUCAAGAUUAAUGGAAGAAGUCAUUGUUGAAAGUGAAAAAAAGCUACAAGAGUUGAUACAGAGCAAAAGAGAAAGUGUAGAAGGAUUUCUUCAUCGUUUUUUUUUUUUACUUUUAGCAUAUCAAAUUGUUGAUUUUAUUUUUAUUUUAUAUUGCUUUCAACAGAUCUUUUAAUGUAUCUAGUUGAUUUGAUUCUUAAAUUAAUGUAUAAUUCAUUGUUUCACCUUUAUGAUACAUUAUAAUUUUAUCAUGUAUAAUGUAUCAUUUUCAAAUAUUGGUUUUGAUAUAGAACCCUAAUUAUUGAAACACAAAUUAGUAUGUAUCGUGUUCAUGGUUAUGUAUUGGAUACAUAAUCGUUUUUAAAUUUUCGAUGAACUUGAACUUAAACUUUAUCUUAAUCUUGACUUUUACUUGAAUUCAAGGACUUCGAGCUUGCUCUUGAAUCCGGUGAUCUUGAUCUUAAUCGUUCUUGAACUUGAAUUCUUAAGCUUGUAGCUUAUAGAGAAAUCUAUGGCGUUUGAUCCAUGAGCUUUCUCUAGAUUCUUGUUUAGAAUUUUCGAUUCCUUUUCUGAAAUUAUGAAGACCUCUAUUUAUAGUUGUGGAGUAAGGAGUUGUGAUAGGAACAGAUUUCCCUUCAGUUAGUCAAAUUUAAGUGACAUGACAUAUGGACUUUAAAAGUGGGCUUGUCAUUUUGACACAUUGCAUGAUCCUAUUGGCUUUUUUGUUUGACUUGACAUGUCACGUCAUUUGACACGUGAUACAAACUGGGUCUCUACUCUCUAGGAUGAGAUGACAUUGAGUUUAACAAACUGGACUCAUAUAUGGUAGCUCAAAUCAAUAAGUUUGAACUUUAAUUAAAUUCAUAUUUAUUGAACUUAAAUAAUUAACCCAAUGAUAUUAAUCCAUAAUAUUUAUUUGGACUAAUAUAUUCAUGAAUUUAAUAUAAUUCGAAUCAUUUAUAAAUUUAUAUUUAAUAAAUUUUAAAUGAUUACACUAUUAUUUAUAGAAAAAUAAAAUUUAAAUAGUUAUGUAACAAAAGGUACGUUAUAUCAGGUUUAGUAGGGAUGAUAAUGGAGCGGUGCAGAGUGGGACAAGUUGAGCUUAACCCUCAAAUUUUUUAAUCUGCCCCGCAUUAUAACUUUUUUUCAUUUUCAACCCGCUCCACCCCACCCCGCAUAAAUUUUUUAAUAUUUUCUUUUUUUUCAUUAAGUUGUAUUAAUUUAAUAGGAUAGUGACUUAAAAAUUUAUUUUGUAGAGAUCAAUUGGGAAACAAGUAAGAAAUUGUAUUAUUUUUAUUGAACUAUUUUCAUAUACUAUCUUGAAUAUUUUAGUAGUUUUAUAGAAAUUAUCUUAAUAAAUAAUGUUUUAUCACUCUUAUAACAUGUAAAAAGAACCCACAUAAAAUCACAUAUAUCCGCAACCCGCUCCGUCCCGCAUUAAUUUUAAAACGAACCCACUUCAACCCGCCCCGCACAACCUUAAACCUGCCCCGCCCCACAUAGCUUUAAACCCACCCCACCCCGCAUCCGCCCCACCUUAUUGCCAUCCCUAACGUUUAGAAACAAAAAUUCAUACUUAAUUUAUAGGAACCAAAAGAUUCUUUUAAAUAUGUUUAUUAUUUUUAUUUGUUAAAACGACAAGUGUUUAAAGUAUUUUAUUUUCUUAUGUCAUUAUUUGUCUAAUGUCUCAUACACUCGAUCCCCUACCUACACCAACAUGGGUUGUGGUGCACUGGUGGGAGUGCUUCACCCUUAACCAAAGGUCUCGUGUUCGAGCCCUGGGUAUGGAGAAAAUCCUGUUGGAAGUGCCACUGCCAAAUAGGCCCUGCAGUGAGAGAUCAAGAUUUAGUCAGAGCUUCAAUGUGAGCUCCAAACACUGGGUGGAAAACCGAAAAAAUAAUUAAACAAUCACCUACCUAUAAAAAAUAAAAUAGUUCAAAAGAACAAGACAAAAUCAUCCUAUUUCAAAUUGUCCAAGGGAAAAUUAACCAAAUUUUCAAGUGUAUUUUUGGAGCUAUUUUGCUAGUUGAAAGACAUUUUUGGCUCAAACAUGUAACAGAGGAUAAAACUGAGACAUUUUAAAUAAUUUAGGGGGUUUAUUCAGCCCUUUUCCCUAUAAUUUAUAAUUAAUCAAAUUACAAAAUAAGUAGAGCAGUUGAUGCGAGUCCAUCAGCCAGCUCAGUCAUCCCACCUUAGUACUAACAAAGAAUAAAUUAAUUUUAUGGAAAACAUUCUGUUGAGAGCGGCACCACCAAAUGGGCCUGCAGUGGACGAUCCGAAUUUAGUUGGGGUUCCAAUGAGGGCUUCGGACAAAAUCAAACAAAAAAGAAAAGAAUAAACUAAUAUUUAUGUCAAAAGUACAAAAAGCAUUGUGGGAUGUAUCAAGCAUAAAAGCUGGGACGAUGUACAAGUAAGCUCUCUCAGUUGCAGGUCAUCCCUGAUAGAUCUUCAUGAUAGAAGUGAGAUUCCCAGACCCAAAAGCACAAAGAAACAUCCAGUCUGCUGCAAUAAAUAGCAAGUCUUCUAUAUGUCAGACGAGACAUCAAAUAAGCUCAUCUUAUUAAUAUCAAGGAGGACCUCCAAGUAGAGUUGUUUAUCAAAACAACGCCAUCAUGGAAGACGUGUUUCAAGCUUCCGCAGGCUAGACACUCAAGUAUUCCCCAGGGCUAAUUACAAGCGGCAGAGAAAGAUUGAAAGGCCUGAGCAACAAAAUGACUGUUCCAGGAUCGAAGCACGGUCAGAAAUUACUAGGAGCAGCACCCUUAAUUUCAUUUGGCUGCUUGCCAUGAAGUUGAUGAUGACCUGCAAGACAUAAAUAUAGCUGAAUCUAAUAGCAAUGCACUAGUGCCUUUGGCCAGAUGACAUUUACAUGGACCAAGGCACCUUCCACGUUGCUAUAAAGUUGUGACUACCUCAAGAAAAGGUGUGAUGGAUAGAAGUAGAGCAGUUGUCUUUCCAGUUCUCGGGGUCCUCUCUCCUUUCUCGGGGCCACCUAGCAGAAGCUUGGUUAUCAUCGGGGCCUGCUUAAAACACUGGAGCAAAUGAAUACCACAUAAUUACUGAUAACAAAAAAAAAAGAAUUGGCAUGCAAUUUAUCUUUUAAGAAGUCAAGUAUAUUCAUUGAUUCAGACCAAUACGGUUGUUAGUCAUACAAACUAACCAAAGUUUGAUCCAAGUAUCCGUUAGACCUCCUUAGUCUUACCAUCUAAAUAGCAUGGUAUUUUCUCCCAAGGACACAAAUGAAACAAGAGAGAAAUUUGACUUUUGAUAUUCAAUUCUCAACUAUUGAAGAUUCUAGCAUGUGUCUCUCCCCAUAUUAGCCACAAAUACUUAGGGUGGCUAUUUUCCUACGUGUUUCUUCUCAGCAUCCAGUUGCUCAUCCUCCAACUUGUUAUCAUCUCUGCUACUGUUCUAGGAAGCACUCACCAAAUAGCGUGCAAUUAAUUAGAUCCAGAAAAUCACGAAAUGCUCUUAACUUGCCAAAAGGUCAUUGGAGUAGGACAUAAAUAUAUUGCACAUAGAUAGCUCGUCAUUAGAGCAGGACAUCAAUAUGUUUCACAGACAUCUCUGGUAACUGUCCACGAUUACGACCAAAAUUUUCUUUCAAGCAGAAUAUUUUUUGAUAAGUAAGGCGUUAAUUUUCUUUCCAGCAGAAUAAACAUGUUCAAAAAAAUUAAAAUGUUCAAGCUUUCCUUUACCACGGGAAAGCUUUUAGAACAUACAGGUCAAAAAAACAAAGAACUAACAUGUGAUCCUUGCAUCAAUAAGUGAUCACAGGAACUGAGACAGCAAAAUUUUCCCAGAUAUAUACAACACUUGUUGAUACAAACAGAGAAAUAUAUUGUCAUCAAAGAUGAAAAGAACUUUUGAAUAGAAGCUAAUAAAAACCAAGAAUGUUUACUUUUGAAUAGAAGCUAAAUAAAAGCCAAGAGUGUUUUCUUUCAAAAGAAGCAACUUCUUAAAAUGUCUUCACAGCAAUACUAAUCUUGAGAAUAGCAAUUCGACUCAUAGUUUUAUAUAACAGGAUUCUACAUAACUCACAGCCCUCGAGUUUUAUCGACGGACCAAUAAACUAAAAUUUGAGCGUCAAUGUUUUGCUUCGAUCGAUGCUUAACAUUCUACAGAACAUACCAAUCAAUUAUCAAUCAAUCACUACAUAAGCAACUGCCUUACCCUAUGCUCAAGCAGCUAUUUUGAUAAUAGACAGUGAAGCUUUUAAAGGAUUCUUCAACAAUAUAUAACAGAAUAUCAUCUUUUUACCGUUAUGUUUGAUGGUGCCUGACAAUUUCAAUAUGUAUUAGACAACCAUCCAGAAAAUUAACUGCAUAAGAUGAGGCCUCACAAACUCCUCUUAAGAACCUUACAAGCUCCUAUGAGAACACAAAUUAGCAAGAACUGUCAUAUAAAGUGAAGAACUAUAUCAGUUCUCCUCUAGGAAUUCACAAACAUUUGGACCAUCUUGUGUAGGGAAGUGUUAUCAUGAUAGGUUUGGGAAAAGUCUGAUCACCACAUAACUCAGAGAGUUUAUUUGGUAUCAGAAACAGUAAAAGAACAGGAUCAUUUUUGUGAUCCAUCCACUUUGUAAAGGCCUUUAUUGCUGAUAUAUAUUAGCCCCAAUAGUCAUCAUACUCAUAUUGCUAACAAAUAGAGGUGGAGGGAACUUGGUAAUCGGUAUGGAUGGCGUGCAAAGCAGCUCAAAGUUCAAUGAUAUAAACUGCUAAGCAGGUGAAAAUAGACAUCACUGCUUGAAGACAAGUCUAUCGAAAACAGCCUCUCUACAUCUGAGGUAGGGGUAAGGUCUACGUACACUCUACCCUCCCCAGACCUCAAUUUGUAGGAUAGUACUAGGUAUGUUGUUGUUGUUGUUGUUGCUUGAAGAUGAGAGGUGACAAUCACAAUAGUGCAGGAAUGAUGUUUACCUCACUCUAAAGGCUCUUAAAUGUGCACUCAUGCAGAACCUAUAAAAAGGAUAACAAUGAUGAUGAUUACGAGGAGAAGGAGAACAAUGAUGAUGAUUACGAGGAGGAGAAGGAGAACAAUGAUGAUGCGCUGCAUAGUCACUUGUUAAAUUCUUAAACAUGCACUUCACCCCACCAAUAAAUAAUUAUGAUAGCUCUUGUCAUUAUUAAUACUCCCUCUAUCCCAAUUUGUUUGGCACUAUUUCCUUUUUUUCCCCUGCGAAAGAUUGACAUCUUUCUAUAAUUAGAAACCAUUUAACUUUUGUACCCAUUUUGCAAUUGACAUGCUUGUCGUAGGCCAACUGGUUACAAAGACAAAUUAUUGGGUAUGGAAGUACUUCUGGUAUAUUAUCCACAUCUAAUUUAAUUGUGAAAAGAUCUUCUUUUUCUUUCUUAAACUUUGUGUCCAGUUCAAAUUGGGGGACGGACAUAAAGAAGAGUAUUAAUUAUUGUUAUUCUGAAACUUUUCAAGCUCUAGUAGCAAUCAAAAAUCUGAGUCAGAUAUAGCAACAAUACCCAACCAUAAUUUGGAAAGAGAUGCAUUUAGAAAGACAUUAUUGACAGAUCAAGAAUUAUAUGACAACAACAACGUACCCAGAAAAAUCCCACAAAUUGAGGUUUGGGGAGGGUAUAGUAUACACAAACCUUACCUCUACCUCUUGGAGGUAGAGAGGUUGUUUCCGGAGGAACCUCAAGGGAAGCAAAUCAAAGUAGUAAUGAAAGAAAAAACGGAAGUGAAGAAAAACAUGCCAACUAAUAGGCAAGCAAUGCGAAGCAUGUAUGCAAGGAAUCAUAACAUCAACAAGGUGCGAUCACCUAAACAUAGUAAACAACAAAUGAUAACAGAUACCAAAAGCCAACGACUACAUGAAUAAGCUAAUACUCCGACGUACAUAAUACUCUAGACUACCACCAAGCCAAAGACUACAUAGAUAGGCUAAUACUUAGACAACACUCAACUACCUACUAACCUUCUACCCUUAUCUGCAACCUCUACACCCUACUAUCUAAAGGUCAUGUACACCCUACUAUCUAAAGGUCAUGUACUCAGUAAGCUGAAGAUCGGCCGUUUCUUGCAUAAUCACCUGUCUCCAAUACUUCUUCGGCCUACAUUUGCCUCUCCUCAUCCCCACCAUAUCCAACCUCUAACAUUUUCUCAUUGGGAUCUACACAUCUCCUCUUCACGUGCCCAAACCAUCUCAGCCUCCCUUCCCUCAUCUUAUUCACCACGGAGACCAAUCAUCUUGACAAAACCAUAUAUGUACCUUAUAUAAUAACUUACGCUGAUGGUGCACAAAAGUUCUCACGAAACUUAGUUUUAGGAAAUUACCAAAUAGAAUGGUGAAUGGUCAAAAUUCAAGGUAGAUUCCACAACAUGCCAAAGAUAUUAGAUCAGCUCAAGCGGUUUCAAACCUGAACCAAGUAAGCUUGUUAAUCAGUUCGCAUCACACCGAUGAGGCUUUUCUCCAUGUUCCUGCUACUGCUUCUCUACCUUUAAGAUUCACUCAGAGCACAGGACAUGGCACCCAUUAUAAUGGUUACUUCACUGACUCAUGCAUUAAACCCAGAGAACUUUUCCACCCCGGCCCCAUAACUCUGUAGGAAUCAGGACAACCGAUACCAAUAGUACUCCAUCUUCAAAUGCACUAAUAUUUCUAUUUAUGUUUCAUGUGCCACCAGCUUACUUUCAGACAGCCACAUCAACAAUCACAGCCAAGCAGACCAACCUAAGAUGCAGAAUGUCAAAGUCAGAUACAAAGGUAAUUUGGAUAUGAAAAGAAAGUAAGGGGCAGAGAAAUAACAGCUAAGAUGGUAUACAAUGAGAGCAUGGGACUGCAAGAAAGAUCUUGAACAGAUAAAGUUCAUCAUAUAUGGUAUUACAUGAAAUGCAACAAAAAUCACUAAACCCCAGAAGAAAAUAGGAAGAGGCAAGCUUGCAUUUGGUUACCUUGAUUUCCCCAAUUUCCCCCUAAAUACUGGCUGGAAAAUUGAUUUUGAACAUACCCCUAAAUUUGGCCAGUGCAGUAACGAGUUUUAAACUUAAGUAAAAUGAUAUGAGCCUUUAUGAAUGAACGUUACAACAGCAAUAGGAUACAUCAACUACACCUUAAACAAAUAAAAUUUCGUAUGGUUAAAAUAAGUUUUUUUUUUCAUAAUUGUGGUGCCCAGGCUUGCUUGCGCGCACCUCAAUUACUUCCAUUGAAUACCUCUCUGUCCACCCAGGCUUAGACAGAUGGACAAUCACCUAGUAUUUGUCGCCGCUGCGAUUUGAACCCUGAGACUUCAUAGUUCUCCCCUCAUGAGGCCACACCCUUGGGUGCAAAAUAAGAAUUGUUUUAUACAAAACACAUAGUUCUAAAUUUUUACUCCAUAGCAAGUUUUCCCCAUCCAGCUUACAUUGGCAUAGAAAUCAGGUUUUGCUUUUAUAUGUAACACUUCCAUAACAGAGAGAUACCAGGUGAAGUAAAAAAAUUC